ensembl:ncRNA B0563.14 ncRNA
AAAGUCGGGAAAUGUGGCGUGAUUUCAGAACUCGGAAUGGCAUUUAGAAAAUACUGCGCUGAAGCCCGCACCGGAAGGAAACUUGCGUUUGGCAGCUCGUUAGCAAGUCUCUUUGACCCCAGACGUCUUUUCGAAAU